rnacentral:lncRNA from 1 species
AACGGUAGGAACAAAGGUUAAUCAGUCCGGUUCAACCCCACAGUUCAAGAUUCAGGACAGCUACUAAGGCAAGUUCAAGGCAGCUUCAGUUCGGUUCAAACAUAAAUCGUUUCAGCUAAGUUGUUUAGAUGGUAGGGGACCGUGAACUGAACUAAUAUAAAUCAACAAAAGGGAUUAAGAAAUUAAUCCAGAGAGGAAGAACAACAACUCAGACAGCAAGUUACAAUCUAAAUUGAUCUGGAUCAAAAGGCAAAACAGUUUACCGGUUCAAAUCAAACACUGUCUGAACUCAAUUGAUACUCCACUUUAAAAUGAAGCCACGCCAAACCUGAUGUACCACAUCAAGAAAAUGUCGGACUCAAUCAGAACAAAACUGAACCGCAGUCAAUCCAACAGAAAUGCUCACAUAAAACUGAUCCACACAACAACUUACAUCUUUACCGAUUAAAAUCAAAGGCUGAAGAACAUGGGUGAUUCUCAACUUCAGGACACCAAAUCUCCAACUCUUUACCACAUAAAUACUCACUGAUUAAAUUCACAAGAUGGUUGGAAAGGGUUGUCCAUGCUCACUCCUCUUCUCUGAAUUUGUUUCUGAAUUUUUCAUGAAUUUUUCUUUGAAUUUUUCUGUCACUUUUCUCUCUUCUCUCUCUCUGAUUUUUCUGUGUUUCUCACAGGUUUAUGCACGACCAAACUGGUGGAGAAAGAGUUAAAUAUGUUAGGAAGUUACUUAAGGUGAGGGUUUCACAAAACACAAGGCAAGGCUGAGUGGAGUCAGGUGGAGACAUGCUUCAGCACAUCAAGAAGCACAAGCAGCUGAACUUUUCCUUCCCAUGAAGAAAGCUACAAGCAGCUGAAGCAAGUAGCUUGUGACCAGCAUGUGACUUCUAAUGAGCAAGCAGGCAAGCAAGUAGGUGCAGGUCAUGUGACCUAAUUACUGAGGAAGCAAGUAGGCUAGAAGGUGCAAAGCAUGUGACUGUUCAGAAAUAACUUUCAGAGUUUUGUCGAUAUUUUUCGGACUGUUUCGACUACAUAUUUUUCAUCAUUCGAAUCUCGUCCUGCUCUGAAUAAACUCGCCCAAUAUGAAUAAAAAUCGACAAUAAUAAUUAACACUCGACCAGAACCAUCAAAAGAUAGUUUUUCGACCAAAAGACAGCCUCGUCGAGAUUAAUUCACCGUGUCGAUUUUUAUUUAAAUUCUGAUCGAUCAAUCUUCAAACUGAUCUUAAAGAAUUUUCUCGACCAGAAUUAUAUAUGCUCGUGAGGGUUAUUACAUUCUUCCCCCCUCAAAAGAAUUCGUCCCCGAAUUCUGAAAACGUAGUUGUACACUCUUUACUGAACAGUCACUGAAUGGAGUUCUGGAUAUUAGCUCUUACAUUAUCUUAAUCUUCCUAUAUCAAAACAACUCAUGGUCGAUCCCUUGAUUCCCCCAACCGAUCCUUUCUUUUCUGAGCAGCCACUUUCAAGAUAACCAAAUUCUUUACUCUGCACAACUCUUGUCAACUGCGUUCUGCAUACUUUUUCUAACAAUCUUCUAUCUGUAGACUAUCACUUCUCAACCUUUUUUAUCUGACUUUCCCCCAUAACAGCAACAUGAAAUUUGGAACAUGAGGUGAUGUGCCAUACGUGAAUGUAACAUCUCCAGUCUGGUCAAUGUUAACUUGAUUAACCGUGCAACAAUCAAACAAGAACAUGCACGAUCAAUCACACCAACAUGAUUCGGACCAGGGGUGCUACUCUCAAAUAAACACACUCACCCAUUCCAAGAAUGAUUUUACUUACAGUAUUCUUUACACUUCUGAUCUAUCUGAGAUGCUCUUCAUAAUCUUCUGACUACUACUAGAACUCGGCAAGAACCACUUGGUGAGAUCCCUAGGCUAUUGCAGCGAAUCCAGGUUCAACAAGAAUAUUGAACAGCUUACUUCUAGAUAGCAACAACUCUUCCAAUUCCUUAAGCAUAACUUCAAAUUCUCUAGCUAUCUGAUUGUUCACUAUAUUCUGAUCCUUGUCAUCUUCUGUUUUCCUAAUGAUCAAGAUAAUGGAAUACACAUCUUCACCUUUUCCCAAAAGGUCUUCAACUCACAAGACUGAUACUAACGAUGCUCCAACAUUUGGUAGAAUACCAUUGUAGGCCAUUGGCAACUAGUCUUCUUCCAAAAACUUCCUUCCUCAACAACAUCCUAAUUGAGCUCGAUAACUAGAUAGCCAAUCUCACUCUAGAUAGAAACAAACCGCUCUAAUGGAAGUACUUAGGAAUGGGGAUGGGAUACGGAGGCAUACCAUAACUCUAAAUGGCAGCCAGUACUUCCACGAAUAAGAACAGUGUACCUGAAUUCACUAAAGUGAAUCCUUCCUAAAACAAUGACACUACCCAAGAACUACAUCUAUGUGUUGUUCCCGCAUCACACACAAUAUGGACGGAAAAUUCAGUCCAUAGGCAAGGUCUCAUACGACACCUUGAUCACUCCUUCACUUAUUUAUUUAAUCAUUCAUAAAUUUUUAAAAUGCACACAACACGCAAUAGGAUAAGAAGCAAACCUGUGAUUGGACCUUUUUAGAAGUUUUGACGGUCCAGGCAACUAUAAAGUGUAGGCUCUACCCAAAUAGCCAAACACUUAGUUAGUGACUAAUGGUAAGGGAAGCGAACAAGUUUAACAAGCGGUACCCUAGGUUUAGGUAAAAAGAUCGGGUAACUUUAUGGGCAAGGGUAAAAUAAUCAUCCUUACUCUUCACAAGGGAAUCACUGAAGCACAUUGAUGCAAAUAAUCAAGAAUUUCUCGCACUUGGACGAUCCCGACUAUGCUGUCCUGGCAUGUCACCACCAUAACAACUCAGCCUCCUCGAUCUUGAUCUGAUGAAACGUACACCCAAAAUCAUCCCAGCGACUUAAUCCACUGAUUUAAAAUAAUCUUCGAUCUUCACUGGUUGGGAAUUAAACGGUCUGCAGAAUUUGGUGAACUUCUUCAGCAAUAACUUCUUUAGUAUUCGCGUCAUACUCUAACAUCUCCUCGAAGCUCUGAGACUCCAUGGUCUUUUAUCUACUACAAAAUUCUUGGCUAAAUUCCCAAAUAUUUUCCAUCUGAUCUUUGGCUUAUUCUCCAAACCAUAAUCGAUGAAUGAAAUUCACUCGACCAUACAUCUUGAUGCUGAAAUUGUUGUAUAUGAUUAACUCAACCUGAACCUCCUGGCGGAAACAUCCUACUGUACCAACUCCGUAAACUGAAUCUUCAAUCGGUCUCAUAUCUUGUGUAGAAAAUUCUACUUCAUGAACCCUUGAGAUCUGUCCAACUCGAUCUCACCUCUCUUAAGUAAUUCUUAACUCUCGACCAACAACUCAUUGCGUUCAUCUCCAAAUAGCUUGCUACCAAAUCCUUCAUGUAAUUCUCUGAACAUUGGCCACAUCAAUGUUUUGCUCUGGGUGUUAAUUUCAUCCCAAAUCUGCCUCAAGCCAAAGUAUACCUCAAACGGUUUAGUGUUUCUUCAGUAUCUUAAGGUCCCACUACUUCUUUCCAUCAUAAGCUUUAAGAUGUCUUGUUGCCAACAGAAAGGUGCAUGUGUGCCCAUCGUCUUGUAGUACAGUUGAACCAUCUCUUCCUCCAACGCUAAGCUCCAAACAAAUGUUGAACAAUUCAGGCUUGUACGGCUUUGUUUCUUGUAAGUCUCAGCAUAAGCUGGAGACUUGAGAAGCUGGAAGAAUAAUUGCAUCUAGGUGAUCAUGUGCAAUCGCAUCGCUCUGAAUCGGACCACAAACAACGUCCACCUUGACAUCGAUAACACACAAGUCCAGAGAUGUAUUCGAUGUAUCAAUUUUGUCCCAUAUCUCUCUCUAAGGAAUUGGCAUCCCCCACUAGAAUUCAAAAGAACGACAGGAAGGCAUGACGUUACUGACUCUUAACAUGGCGGUAGUGAACCCCACCAUGAGGGUAGCAAACUCGAGCCUGAUGAUACUAACAUCGGUAAGUACGGUCCACCCGUUCAAGCUUGUCUCGGUGCUUAUGCUCUGAAAGAUCACUGUUAGGUAACUACCCACGACUAUCUAUCCUUAUAUGAAGGAACAAGCCAGCAAAUCCUAGUUAUCCUUGCGACUCAUUUUGACUCGAAAAACAUUUGAAAGAAGUCCCAUUCUAGCAUCGUAUAACCAUGCUCUAAUACCACCUUUGUGACACCCCCGAUCGUAGAUGAUCGGAAAUGACACGGUCAAUGUUCCUCGAUUGUCGAUCUGAGGUUCUCAGAAUACUUCCGAUCGCCUUAGACCAACAACCAAAGAACACCAACGCUCCUAUCAGAUAUAACUCUAGGCUUUUCAACCCGACAAAGCAAUACCCGAUAGUUAGUUCGUCCGGACAAGGACUAAUAUCAUAUGGAACCCGUACUUAAAAAAACAUUCUUUAUAUAUCAAUCAAAAGCAUCUUACAAAAUUUGUUAUAAAUUAACCUCGAGGUUUUCGGUCAACAAAUCUUAUAUAUAAGAUAUAUCAAAAUGACUUUGCAAGGAUAAUAAAACUACCGCUGGCUAAUGCUAUUCCUUCCCGUCCUAGAGUAAGGUCUCCCGCCGAUUGGUUACCUGCAUCACAAAUGAGUCAUGAGUAACUAGUUUACUCAGUGAGUCUAAUCCCACACCCAAACACAUAUCAAUAGUAUCCCGAGCAAGCGGCGCCAUUUGAAUGCAGUGGAAUUCUAUUCCAUAAUUAAUAUAAUUAUAAGGCCUCUCAAUCCGUCCAUGUGAAUCUAUCUUAAACAUCACCUCCACGAUACCCGCCAAUCACUCAUAGUCUUAAUAUAUAUAUAUGCUAAACCCGGAAAACCACCAAUGCUAACCGAGCCUAACGGAGAAUAAAUAUAACCAUCAUCUCCAUCAGAUAUUCCAAGAUAGAACAUCCAACGCUGCAUGCAGUUACACGGCCUCCAGGGUGUGAUCCCAUCAUCGUGUCUUCAUGACCUUGAUCCAUACCCCAGGACCAAUUCACGGAAAUGCGGGACUUUCGGGAGAGUGAGUAUACAAUAAGACUUCACAUGAUUCACACUUAUUAAUAGAAUACUUAUAGAUUAGUACUUGAGAACAAGUACUAAGGCUCGGGAUAACCUCAAAGAAUUAUUCUUAUUAAUUCUUAAGUAUUUAAACUAGAUAAAUACUUCAUAUAUAAAUAUAGAUCAAGGGAUAAUACUUAAUCAAUCAACCAUAAUUACUCCUUAAUUAAUCCAUGAUUAAUCCUUAAUUAAUCAAUGAUUAUCCCUUAAUUAAAUCAUGAUUAAUUCUUAAUUAAUCAGCUAUAUUCAAUAUGCAAUCAUGCAUACUCAUUCAUAAUUCAUUCAUCAUCUAUCUAGAAUCACCUUUAAAUCCAUGAGAUUGGCUAAGCAAGACUAUACUCGAGCUCAAGCUAAUCACACUCGGCUUCAGGAAUAUUCUCGAUUUAAAAUUACCACAAGGAUCCGUCUGAUCCGAAAACUAUCCUUGGCCAUCUGUACCAAUAACAGAAUGGUUGGAACACAGGUUAAUCAGUAUCCUUGACCAUCUGUACCAAUAACAGAAUGGUUGGAACAAAGGUUAAUCAGUCCGGUUGAACCCCACAGUUCAAGAUUCAGGACAGCUACUAAGGCAAGUUCAAGGCAGCUUCAGUUCGGUUCAAACAUAAAUCGUUUCAGCUAAGUUGUCUAGCUGGUAGGGGACCAUGAACUGAACUAUUAUAAAUCCACACAAGGGAUUAAGAAAUUAAUCCAGAGAGGAAGAAUAACAACUCAGCCAGCUAGUUACAAUCUAAACUGAUCUGGAUCAAAAGGCAAAACAGUUUACCGGUUCAAAUCAAACACUGUCUGAACUCAAUUGAUACUCCACUUUAAGAUGAAGCCACGCCAAACCUGAUCAGUACCACAUCAAGAAAAGGUCGGACUCAAUCAGAACAAAGCUGAAC